rnacentral:rRNA from 1 species
GUCCUACGGGAGGCAGCAGUGGGGAAUAUUGCACAAUGGGCGCAAGCCUGAUGCAGCGACGCCGCGUGAGGGAUGACGGCCUUCGGGUUGUAAACCUCUUUCAGCAGGGACGAAGCGCAAGUGACGGUACCUGCAGAAGAAGCACCGGCCAACUACGUGCCAGCAGCCGCGGUAAUACGUAGGGUGCGAGCGUUGUCCGGAAUUACUGGGCGUAAAGAGCUCGUAGGCGGUUUGUCGCGUCGUCUGUGAAAUUCUGCAGCUUAACUGCAGGCGUGCAGGCGAUACGGGCAGACUUGAGUACUACAGGGGAGACUGGAAUUCCUGGUGUAGCGGUGAAAUGCGCAGAUAUCAGGAGGAACACCGGUGGCGAAGGCGGGUCUCUGGGUAGUAACUGACGCUGAGGAGCGAAAGCGUGGGUAGCGAACAGGAUUAGAUACCCCGGUAGUCGC